rnacentral:rRNA from 1 species
ACACUGCACGACAGUGCGAUAGGGGGAUUCCGAGUGCGAGGGCAUACAGUCCUCGCUUUUCUGGACCGUAAGGAGGUCCAAGAAUAAGGGCUGGGCAAGACCGGUGCCAGCCGCCGCGGUAAUACCGGCAGCCCGAGUGAUGGCCGAUAUUAUUGGGCCUAAAGCGUCCGUAGCUGGCCAGACAAGUCCGUUGGGAAAUCCACGCGCUCAACGCGUGGGCGUCCAGCGGAAACUGCCUGGCUUGGGGCCGGAGGACUCGAGGGGUACGUCCGGGGUAGGAGUGAAAUCCCGUAAUCCUGGACGGACCACCGGUGGCGAAAGCGCCUCGAGAGGACGGACCCGACAGUGAGGGACGAAAGCCAGGGUCUC